UACAGAGGUCUCAAGCGUUGUUCGGAAUCAUUGGGCGUAAAGAGCGUGUAGGCGGUCCGGUAAGUCCGUUGUGAAAGUCAGGGGCUCAACCCUUGAAUGCCGGCGGAUACUGUCGGGCUAGAGUCCGGAAGAGGCAAGUGGAAUUCCCGGUGUAGCGGUGAAAUGCGCAGAUAUCGGGAGGAACACCUAUGGCGAAGGCAGCUUGCUGGGACGGUACUGACGCUGAGACGCGAAAGCGUGGGGAGCAAACAGG
rnacentral:rRNA from 1 species